GACGAACGCUGGCGGCGUGCUUAACACAUGCAAGUCGAACGGUAAGGCCCUUCGGGGUACACGAGUGGCGAACGGGUGAGUAACACGUGGGUGAUCUGCCCUGCACUUCGGGAUAAGCCUGGGAAACUGGGUCUAAUACCGGAUAGGACCACUGCCUGCAUGGGUGGUGGUGGAAAGCUUUUGCGGUGUGGGAUGGGCCCGCGGCCUAUCAGCUUGUUGGUGGGGUGAUGGCCUACCAAGGCGACGACGGGUAGCCGGCCUGAGAGGGUGACCGGCCACACUGGGACUGAGAUACGGCCCAGACUCCUACGGGAGGCAGCAGUGGGGAGUAUUGCACAAUGGGCGCAAGCCUGAUGCAGCGACGCCGCGUGAGGGAUGACGGCCUUCGGGUUGUAAACCUCUUUCAGCACCGACGAAGCGCAGGUGACGGUAGGUGCAGAAGAAGGACCGGCCAACUACGUGCCAGCAGCCGCAGUAA
rnacentral:rRNA from 1 species